UGUGGUGAUGAUACUAGCAAUAGGAAGUGCCGUCAGAUGCGAGAACUGACGACGUCUACGUUUGUCUGAAU